GUACGCUGGCGGCACGCCUAAACAUGCAAGUCGAACGAAGUAGCAAUACUUAGUGGCAGACGGGUGAGUAACAUGUAGGUAUCUACCCUAUGGCCUGGAAUAACACGAGGAAACUUGUGCUAAUACUGGAUAAGUCUUUACGGAGAAAGCUUUAUGCACCAUUGGAUGAGCCUGCACUUGAUUAGUUUGUUGGUGGGGUAAUGGCCUACCAAGACUUUGAUCAAUAGCUGAUUUGAGAGGAUGAUCAGCCACAUUGGGACUGAGACACGGCCCAAACUCCUACGGGAGGCAGCAGUGGGGAAUCUUGCACAAUGGAGGAAACUCUGAUGCAGCGAUGCCGCGUGAGUGAAGAAGGCCCUUGGGUUGUAAAGCUCUUUCGUCGGGGAAGAAAAUGACUGUACCCGAAUAAGAAGG
rnacentral:rRNA from 1 species